CUCGCAGCAGAGCAGAGCGUCCCGCAGCAGUUUGUGCCACAGUCCCGCACCGGGAGCGCGCAUUGCCUCUCCAGACACGCUAGAAAUCCCCCUCACGCAGCCCGUCAAAUCAAUCUGAGUGGGGGGAAAAAUAGGUUUGAGGCGAGUCGGCGGCGACAGGAGAGGGACAUUUACAGAUUAUUGUUUCAGAAGUGAGUAAGGGGCGCAAUGUAAGAGGCCUUCCUAGUAAAGAUAAGCGACCCGCAGCUGCGCACGGUUUGAAGCUGAAUUGGUUGCAUCCGCAGUUCCAAGUGCUCUUCACCAAUCCUUAGAAUGAGGCUAUAGGACUUCUGAGUCCUUUCUUCACCUGCAGUGCCUUCAGGGACGGCGCCAAGACAGCAUUACAGGUAUUCCCAGAAACAAGCUAA